ACACGGGAUACAGGUGGUGCAUGGUUGUCGUCAGCUCGUGUCGUGAGAUGUUGGGUUAAGUCCCGCAACGAGCGCAACCCUUAUUAUUAGUUGCCAUCAUUAAGUUGGGCACUCUAGUGAGACUGCCGGUGAUAAACCGGAGGAAGGUGGGGAUGACGUCAAAUCAUCAUGCCCCUUAUGACCUGGGCUACACACGUGCUACAAUGGAUGGUACAACGAGUCGCCAACCCGCGAGGGUGCGCUAAUCUCUUAAAACCAUUCUCAGUUCGGAUUGCAGUCUGCAACUCGCCUGCAUGAAG
rnacentral:rRNA from 1 species